rnacentral:rRNA from 1 species
AACGAACGCUGGCGGCAUGCCUAACACAUGCAAGUCGAACGAGACCUUCGGGUCUAGUGGCGCACGGGUGGGUAACGCGGGGGAACCUGCCCUUAGGUUCGGAAUAACUCCCCGAAAGGGGUGCUAAUACCGGAUAAUGUCUUCGGACCAAAGAUUUAUCGCCCUUGGAUGGGCCCGCGUUGGAUUAGCUAGUUGGUAGGGUAAAAGCCUACCAAGGCGACGAUCCAUAGCUGGUCUGAGAGGAUGAUCAGCCACACUGGGACUGAGACACGGCCCAGACUCCUACGGGAGGCAGCAGUGGGGAAUAUUGGACAAUGGGCGAAAGCCUGAUCCAGCAAUGCCGCGUGAGUGAUGAAGGCCUUAGGGUUGUAAAGCUCUUUUACCCGGGAUGAUAAUGACAGUACCGGGAGAAUAAGCUCCGGCUAACUCCGUG